ACCAGAUGGACUUUGGAAUUCUCAGCCUCAGAAACUGUGUUCCAUGGUGAAGAAGAGAGAUGAUCCUAGCACUGCUGGAGCCUCCAAUUGAGCUGGGAAGACAGAUGGGGAAGAAGUAACUAGAAGGGUGAUUGGUUCUGCAAACAAGAAGCACAGAAUCAAACAAAUGAAUUCAUCCCGGAAUGGUGUUUUGGGGAAGAUACUAAACAGAAAUCGUGUGGUGUUACCACAGCUUGGAGUCGCAAACAAGUACAUGGAUGUGGAAAUGACGCGUAUCUUGACACUCAAGAUUCUCUUUGAAUUCGGAAAGUCCCCUGCCUUCUGCUGCUCUCUGGGGGGCUUGGAUACUCCACAUGUCUCACUCAUUUGUAUUUGUUCCCUAUCGGGCUGGCACCUUCUAUACUCUACCUCCUAAUUUUACUAAAAAGCUUUCCAAAGAUGAAGUUGUAAGAUAAAAAACCAAACUCUGGAAUCAUCUAAACUCCAGUAACAUGAAAAACAUGAAAAUCCACAGAAUCAUAGCUCUCUGUGGGUUGAUAAAUAGCACUUUUAUCCUCACCUGGGGUUUCUGAUGCAUUAUGGUAAUGCAGGGUACCACCUUUCUGUAUUUACUGUCUCUGCCUCUUUUAUUUAUGGAGGAAGACACAACCAGACAUCUAUAUUUUU